AAGAGAAAGACAGAUGCAAAAGAAAUUGAACGUAUAAAGGUGUCUGAGUGAUUCGCGUAUUGGGAAAAUUUAAUAAAAUAUUAAAAAAGUCUUGAAAAUAUAUAAAAAAAAACAUUAAAUAUAUUGCCAAAUUGAAUUUGUUUAACUUAAAAAUAUUGAAAAGUGAAAAUAUUAAACUAAAGAAGACCUAUUGUAAAAUUGGAAAAAUAGUCUCUAGGAAAAUAAAAGUAUUGGCGUCAUCAUUUCAAGAAUUUAAUAACUACGAAAGUCUGUGAAAUCAAUAAUAAAUAUAAAAUUUAUUUGCACCAUAAUUUUGUUGCCAAAUACAAUAACUAACAGUAUAAAUCAAUCAAUUUGGAAUAAAACUUAAACGAAAAAGUUAGAAAAAUCAGUUUAAAGCCUUUUUGUUCAUAAUGCAUUAAAGGGGCUGGGGCUGCUUUUUUCAUCGACAACGACGAAGAAAAAAACGCAUUUUCAUCGUAGUUUUGUCUCCGAAAUGUUCAAAUAUUGGCAUCAUCAAACCCUAGACGAUCAUUGUAGACAAUUGGAUUCAACUUAAGGCUAACCUAACAACCACCACAUAAUCAUCAACGUCAUACAUCAUUGUUGUCAUCCGAUCAUACAAGAGAGCGAACAACUUACUAAUUAUACACACAAAUUAUUUUGU